GAUGAACGCUGGCGGCGUGCCUAAUACAUGCAAGUCGAGCGAACGGACGAGAAGCUUGCUUUUCUGAUGUUAGCGGCGGACGGGUGAGUAACACGUGGAUAACCUACCUAUAAGACUGGGAUAAUUUCGGGAAACCGGAGCUAAUACCGGAUAAUAUUUUGAACCGCAUGGUUCAAAAGUGAAAGACGGUCUUGCUGUCACUUAUAGAUGGAUCCGCGCUGCAUUAGCUAGUUGGUAAGGUAACGGCUUACCAAGGCAACGAUGCAUAGCCGACCUGAGAGGGUGAUCGGCCACACUGGAACUGAGACACGGUCCAGACUCCUACGGGAGGCAGCAGUAGGGAAUCUUCCGCAAUGGGCGAAAGCCUGACGGAGCAACGCCGCGUGAGUGAUGAAGGUCUACGGAUCGUAAAACUCUGUUAUUAGGGAAGAACAUAUGUGUAAGUAACUGUGCACAUCUUGACGGUACCUAAUCAGAAAGCCACGGCUAACUACGUG
rnacentral:rRNA from 1 species